GACGAACGCUGGCGGCGUGCCUAAUACAUGCAAGUCGAACGCUGAAGGAGGAGCUUGCUUCUCUGGAUGAGUUGCGAACGGGUGAGUAACGCGUAGGUAACCUGCCUGGUAGCGGGGGAUAACUAUUGGAAACGAUAGCUAAUACCGCAUAAGAGUAGAUGUUGCAUGACAUUUGCUUAAAAGGUGCAAUUGCAUCACUACCAGAUGGACCUGCGUUGUAUUAGCUAGUGGGUGGGGUAACGGCUCACCAAGGCGACGAUACAUAGCCGACCUGAGAGGGUGAUCGGCCACACUGGGACUGGGACACGGCCCAGACUCCUACGGGAGGCAGCAGUAGGGAAUCUUCGGCAAUGGACGGAAGUCUGACCGAGCAACGCCGCGCGAGUGAAGAAGGUUGUCGGAUCGUAAAGCUCUGUUGUAAGAGAAGAACGAGUGUGAGAGUGGAAAGUUCACACUGUGACGGUAGCUUACCAGAAAGGGACGGCUAACUACGUG
rnacentral:rRNA from 1 species